GCAGUGUCACAAGGCCCCCUUGGCUCUGUGGAGCCCACAGGGUCAGUUUUGCCAGUGGGCAGGGUCAGCACCAAAGACACAGAUACCAACUGAAGGAAUUGUGUCAUUUAUAUAAGCAGGAGUCAGAGGAAGAGAAUAUGUGUGACCUGCCUGGCUUUAACGUUGUGCCAGGAGCAAUGCCACGGGGAAGCUGGUCAGAGGGGCAUCUGAGAAGUGUGUGCUACAUCAGUGAUGUCCUAAUACUGAUCUUUGCACAGAGAUGAAAAAGUAUCAGUUUGCAUGGCCUGAAUGUCUGGCUCUGGACAUUCUGCAUUACACAAGAUGUGCUGAGCUCAUCUGGCUCUGAAAUAUCAUCUCUGCACCUUAGCCAGGAACAGCAUCAGAAUUCUGAACAGAUUCAUCAAAAUCAGUCAAAAGCCAGAAGCAAACCUUGGCAAUACACAUCAGUGGCAGGUGAGGAGACCAAAAGCUUCCAUUCUUGUUCUUGCAGAAUGCAUUCAGCAAUAAAAAAUCCUCUCUCUUGGCAUUAAAAUACUUUAGUUUCA